AUACGGAGGGUCCGAGCGUUAUCCGGAAUCAUUGGGUUUAAAGGGUCCGUAGGCGGGAAUCUAAGUCAGUGGUGAAAUCUUGCAGCUCAACUGUAAAAUUGCCAUUGAUACUGGAUUUCUUGAAUUAGUGUGAAGUGGUUAGAAUGUGUAGUGUAGCGGUGAAAUGCAUAGAUAUUACACAGAAUACCAAUUGCGAAGGCAGAUCACUAACACUAUAUUGACGCUAAGGGACGAAAGCGUGGGGAGCGAACAGGAUUAGAAACCCGAGUAGUCC
rnacentral:rRNA from 1 species